UUGAAAGGGAAACGAUUGAAGUCAGUCGUACCGGCGGGUAAUCAGCCUUUUGGGUGUGAUUAUGUGGGGCGUGAGGAGUUAAUCACCCUCAUCUUUGCAUAUUCGUGCACUUUGGGUGUACUUGCUCGUGUGGUAGGUUAACAUCAAUUUUGAUCGUCAUAAAAUGAUUGGGGGAAUGUAGCUUCGAUCUCGUAUUGAAGUGUUAUAGCCUUCGGUAGAUGUGAUGAUUGGGAUUGAGGAUUGCAACGGAUACCCUUCGGGGCUACCUGUCUGAUCUCUGAAAGUUGCUCUGGUGCUGAAAGCUUGCUUACGGUAUCAAAGUUGACGUUCAACAGGUUAGAACGGGAUAAAUUCGUUAAGGAUGUUGACGUA
rnacentral:rRNA from 1 species